CACGUAGGCACCAAGCGUUGUCCGGAUUUAUUGGGCGUAAAGAGCUCGUAGGCGGUUCAGUAAGUCGGGUGUGAAAACUCUGGGCUCAACCCAGAGACGCCACCCGAUACUGCUGUGACUUGAGUACGGUAGGGGAGUGGGGAAUUCCUGGUGUAGCGGUGAAAUGCGCAGAUAUCAGGAGGAACACCAGUGGCGAAGGCGCCACUCUGGGCCGUAACUGACGCUGAGGAGCGAAAGCGUGGGGAGCGAAUAGG
rnacentral:rRNA from 1 species